AUUCACCCUGCAGGGGAGGAGGGGAGGACAGUGCUCAGGAUCCGCCCCCCGCAACUCUCCACCGGUCCCCCUCCACCCCGCCCUGGGUGGUUCUUUCUCCAGCUAACUGGUUACCAGAGGCACCGCCCCCUGCCCACCACCACCUUUGAGAAGGAACAACUCUAUUUCCCCAGGAGAAUUUCCCCAGGAGAAUCCCAACAUGGGAUUCACAGUGACCACAGUUCUGUAUGGAGCGCGGUCAAAAUCAAACCCACCACAAAUGGGUCACAGACCACACCGCGUGUGGGAGCUCAUUCUCAGGUCAUGGACCUCAAUGUGAGUGGAAGGGCCGCCUUGUGGGCUGUUUCGAGCAGCGCCCAGGAGGAGCAGUGACCAUAGGCCCUCAGGACCCCGGACCCCACACAGGACCCAGAAGUCACAGCGCUCCUAGAGCCCCGGGGGGCUGCUCAGCGUCCCGAUUCCCCCGGCCAGGACAAGCAGCACCACCGUGGUCAGCACAAAUUCAAAAGACGGGUGAGGAAUGUUGACUGGAGCCCAGGGUGACAAUAUCUAAAUGUAAGAGGCACACACUGUGUGACCAGCUGCCCCACUCCCAAGAAUUCACUAUCAAGACAAACAACCAGAAUGCAUAGGGAACAGUGUGACAAGAAUGGUCACCGGGUUGGGAUCAGUGAUGUGGCCAGAUCUGUGGCUCGGCUUUAGACGGAAGUCACACUAGAGCGCGGUCUGCAAACCGCCCUAAAUGCGGGCCCGCGGAGAAGCGUUUUAGGCUCUGGGGGCCGCGCAGCCCCUGUGGCCAGGACGCUGGCGCUCCGAAGGGCACGGCGGCAGCCAUCCGCGCUGUGGAAACCCACGAACGCGGCGGCGGCCCGAUAACACGUCACGGAAACAGGUGGCACGCCGGCCGUGGCCCACAGGUGAACCGGCCUCUGCUCUACGUGGCAAGUGCUGUGGGCAAACAAUGCGCGGAAGGAAACGCGGCCGCUUCCGGGACCGCCCGCCGGCGCGCGAGGCCCGACGCGUCUCGGCAGCGCGCAUGCGCCGGGGGCGCCCAGGUUCCGGCAGGGCUCUCCUCCGGGGAUGCUCCGCCGAGGCCGCGGCUGUAUCCGC